rnacentral:rRNA from 1 species
AGUGAACGCUGGCGGUAGGCCUAACACAUGCAAGUCGAACGGCAGCACAGUAAGAGCUUGCUCUUACGGGUGGCGAGUGGCGGACGGGUGAGGAAUACAUCGGAAUCUACUUUUUCGUGGGGGAUAACGUAGGGAAACUUACGCUAAUACCGCAUACGACCUACGGGUGAAAGCAGGGGAUCUUCGGACCUUGCGCGAGUGAAUGAGCCGAUGUCGGAUUAGCUAGUUGGCGGGGUAAAGGCCCACCAAGGCGACGAUCCGUAGCUGGUCUGAGAGGAUGAUCAGACACACUGGAACAGAGACACGGUGCAGACUCCUACGGGAGGCAGCAGUGGGGAAUAUUGGACAAUGGGGGAAAGCCUGAUCCAGCCAUACCGCGUGGGUGAAGAAGGCCUUCGGGUUGUAAAGCCCUUUUGUUGGGAAAGAAAAGCAGCAGGUUAAUACCCCGCUGUUCUGACGGUACCCAAAGAAUAAGCACCGGCUAACUUCGUG